AUCCUUCCCUGGCAGAGCAGACACCGUGAUCAGAAGGGCGGCUUCCCCACACAAGGCUCAUCCAUUGCAUUCCAGGUGUUCUGACCCCUGCAGUUUUCCCAGACAUGGGAAACUCAACUGCAUAAUUUGUGGUAGUGGAAGACUGCAUUGGCAUGCUCCCU